rnacentral:lncRNA from 1 species
GGUGUGUCCCCUGAAGAAGCUGAGUGGAGGAAAUGAGAUUCCUCAGAGGAAAUUGUGAGGAUCGUUUCACAGAAGAAAGGCCUGCCAUCUGAUCCUUUCCUCACUGCCAACAUUACCCAGGAAGUACCCCUGUCCAUGUCAGUAUGACCUAUGCCUGGGCCACCCAGCAUCCAGAACCCUGCCCUGUCUCUGGCCCAUGUGGCUCCUAAUGCCCGGCUUACCUGUCUGUCUUUUCCCC